GAAGCAGCUAUCACAGGGUCUGGAACAUAGUACAUCCCAGCCUUCUUGCACAUAGAAACACUACACAGCACUUCAGCUGUAUGUUUGGGGGCCAUUUUAAACAGCAAAAUCAUCAACAGGAAGCAGAAAAUUGUAAAAAUUGUGGCACUAAAUAGACCAUGUAAAGGACACAUGUUUGCAAUAAGAAAGCUGAAACAAGAAGGGGGAGUGUCACCUUAUUUGAUCCAGCUAGAAACUCAGGUGCUGGUAUUCCAGCAACACUCAGGCGGCUGCUCCAGGAGGCUGCAGAGGGGUCCUUUUUAGCCGUCAACAAAACUGGCUAUGGUCACGCCCAUUGGGAAACUCAUUGCUGCCUUCAAGGACUCAGAAGCUGUAGGAAUAUUCAGGCACAGACACCAGACCCAGCUUCAUCUCUAACUUGUGGCAAAGGACAGUACAUCCUGGGAUGGGACCCUAUGCUCCCCUAUGCCAUUUAGACAGAGCCUGGGGAGAGUGACUUCCCAGGGUAUCCAUGUUGGAAUCUCUCAUUUGAUUCUUAUUCAAAUUUAGGUUCUGUCAAUAGAAGAUACUAAAGAAAGAAAGCCAGGAGAAGAAAAGGGACUUCUUUCUUCAAGGUCUAAGCUGUUCUAAUAGCAUUAUUCUGGGAAUGGCAUCUUCCACUCCUCCUAGUACAAAGAACCUGCUUCCUCAUACCCCGUCAAGGAACUGCAGCAUCCAGUCCCAUUGUUUCAGGUCAGAAGUGAACAGACAGUGGGUGAGACAUGAAGCUCUAGCCAGAAAGGGCUAAUGUGAUGGCCACAGUGGCAGAACCUAGGAAGCCAAGAAGAAACCAGAGAAUGGAGACACAUGGCAGCAAUGGCAAGUCAUCAGACCCAGGAUUUCCCAAAGAACACUGGUCCAGGAAGAUGCUCUGUGAAAAAGUGUUCCCUGGUCGGAGAAAUUUGUGAAACACUUUGCAUAAUACUUAAAAGAAUGUAUGGCACAUCAAAGGUAAUAUGCAAUAAAAGAAUUCAUUUUUUUAAAA
rnacentral:lncRNA from 1 species